UAGCUUUAUUGGAUGAGGCUGAGCAUGAUAUCAAGAAUUAUUCAGACCUCGGUCAAUGUUAUCCGCCUCAGCUUCGCUUCGGCAGAUAACAUUGACCUCGGUCUGAAUAAUUCUUGAUAUCAUGCUCAGCCUCAUCCAAUCAAUAA
rnacentral:miRNA from 1 species